GGGCAUCUGAUGCUUAUUGCACCACAUGUGUUUUUCUUUGAAACAAACUUGCUUUGGCGGUGGGCCCAGCCUGCCGCCAGAGGUCUAAACUUACAACCAAUUUUUUAUUAACUUGUCACACCAGAUUAUUACUUAAUAGUCAAAACUUUCAACAACGGAUCUCUUGGUUCUCGCAUCGAUGAAGAACGCAGCGAAAUGCGAUACGUAAUAUGAAUUGCAGAUAUUCGUGAAUCAUCGAAUCUUUGAACGCACAUUGCGCCCUCUGGUAUUCCGGAGGGCAUGCCUGUUUGAGCGUCGUUUCUCCCUCAAACCGCUGGGUUUGGUGUUGAGCAAUACGACUUGGGUUUGCUUGAAAGACGGUAGUGGUAAGGCGGGAUCGCUUUGACAAUGGCUUAGGUCUAACCAAAAACAUUGCUUGCGGCGGUAACGUCCACCACGUAUAUCUUCAAACUUUGACCUCAAAUCAGGUAGGACUACCCGCUGAACUUAAGCAUAUCAAAAGCGGAGGAA
rnacentral:rRNA from 1 species